GAACAAGAGGACUUGUGCUUUCAGAAAGAAAAGCUUUUUCUUUCCUUCUUGCCUUCACAUGUUAGAAAGGGAAGCCCAAGCUCUUCUGAUGCGCCAUGGGUGCAAUGACUUCGAGAGCUUCAUGGCUGUUCUGCAGACAGAUGCACGAUUGUGAAACAUCAAUAUGGACUGCAAAUCUCUAUGUCAGUCAGCUGCUGUUCCCCUCUGCAUAACGUAAUCCCUAUCGCCACAGUGCCUGCACAGAUACACGUUUGCAAAGAUGUUUUUCUGGAGAUAGCGUGUAUAGCAAACACUCCCUUACUUGUUCUCAUCUCUAGCAACAUUAUACAGAGUUUCAGUUCACAGUUCCCUGUGUUCCCCCUCCUACCACUGAAAUGCAGCCAACUCUGAGCUGCGGCUAUUAAACAUCACACAAGCAACACCACAAAACAGAUUGUGGAAAGCACAGGAAUUCAAAGAAAAGCAACAAAUUGAGUGAGGUCUGGGAAAUGAUAACAAAGGAUCAUAGGGAAUGAAUUACUCAUGAUGCAGAAUAGUCAUCGCCUCGAUGUUCAGGUGAUACCAGCAUGCAAGGGAAAGUUUUUGAGGGUGGCACAAAGAGAUGUCACUAGGAGCAGUCAGGUUUCAGCCAGGGAGAUGAGCAGGUCAGCUUCCUUAACCACUGAGUUUUGUCAGUCUUUCAGAGUCCCAAGGAAAGGGCUGAAGGUGUCAUGGCUUGGGGUUUUUAAAACUCGUCUGUUUCAAGACAGGUCAAGGCACUUUCAGGACAGAUGAAUAAAACAAGAUGGAGCAAGUACUAUAUCUAUUCCAAAUUUUUAUGAGUCUGAGAAAACAGUUGGGAGAAAGAUGGAAAGGUCUGAAGGAAUCACAUGUACAAAGUGAGAAAGCAGUGUGAACUGGUGUGACAAUAGCCAUGACAUGGCCAGGGAAAAGCUUCCAAAGACAUUGCUCUUCUUUGACAAGAAGGUCAUCUUCAUGAUGACCUUAAAAUGAGAAAGAAAGAAGGGGAAGAUAUGCAGUGAAUAAGAGGAAAGAAAAAUGUGUGUGAAGGUAUGUAGCUGUUUAUGUGCGUGUGUAGCACAACAGGAAUAUUAUUCAGGUUGGAAAAAGGAUUGUAAGUGUCUGCAUCUCAGUUUGCUUACUGGCUUGAAGAGGGCACCUUGGCACAAAACCUGCACAUGAAUUCUUGCUGCUUUAGGUAAAGUGAUGAGUGGAGAAGGUUGCCAGACACUGUCACUGAGCAUUCAAUGGACAAGUAAGAAGCAACUGCAAAAGUCUGUUCCCAACUCAAGUUGCAUAGCAACACUAAAUCGUCAGAUUGCUGUUAUGUCAGUCCCUUACAUUAUCCCCAUUAUUACAGCCGGUUUUAGGAAUCACGCAGCAUGAUGUUACUAGCCCACUUCACAGCUGGAUGUGUGACCUUUGUCUCUUGCUGAAUGAUUCCAUGUCAUUUGCUGCAAAGGUGUCUCAAAGUAGUACACCCCUGAGAAAACUCUUUGAGGAUCCAUCAACACAGACCAUAAGGAGAAAAGGAUGUGCCUGUGCAGCAUGGGGAAGGAGAGAGAGAUCAGGGAACAUCAAUACCCUUAAAGAAGUCUAGUGUCUGCCAAACUUGUCAGGAUGUGUGUUAGCCCAUUACUUCUCUGAAGUGAGUCUUCAUUGAUGCAGUUAAAAGCCUAUAUUAAGGGAUGAGCCACAGUUGCUCAUAUGUUUUGAAUGCUUCCAGUGUGUGCUUGUGCUUGGUAUUUGGAUGUCUCCUGUGGACCAUUGCUGCUGUGCAAUUCUAACUUCCAGCCAGCUGUUUACUGCUUUUCAGUGUAAGCACCUUGUGAGCUGUUUCCUGGUGGAGAUGCUGAAGUACUAAAGUAAUCACAACAUCAUCAUCCUGUGAUGUUCAGACACUGCCAGUCUCUGAAAAAAUACCUAGAAGUCUGCUUCUCUUGCAGGAUGUUUCUAGUAACCUGCAUAAUGUCUUUCCUGGAUGUCUUGAGUAGCACAGCAUCCUCCUCCCUUUUUCAUUCUAUUGCUGCUUCUUUUGCUGGCACAAGAUCCUGAAAUGCCCCUACCAUCUCUUCGCAGCCAAGGCAACCAGGGUCACUGAGUACCAAGGUGUGGCUGGAGUUUUAAGGAUGCAAAUAAAGUGAAUGAACUCCUUUACUGCAACAUCAGAGUGACAUGGAUUUAGGACACCAGGUGGAAUGAAAAUUACCUUACAGGGCUUUUGCACUGGAUGAUGGGGCGAGUGACCUGAUAAGCAAGUAAUUCUCAGUGAUAUAUCUCCUUUCUGAAGAGUGCCUGGUUGUAAACUGUGCCAGCUUUUUCAAGAUCACCACUGCAAAUUAUGAUCCAGCAAACAGACCUCAGAAGGACAAGAUAGACUGCCUGCUCCCUCUGUAUAGAGUAAUGGAAUUAUUCUGCUUCAUUAAAACAACUGAUGAGAAAACAAA